GAUAGAGUGGCUGAAAUAUAGGCGAUAAAUUGUAAAUUUAUUUAUGGUUAAGAAAACCCUUUAUCA
rnacentral:tRNA from 1 species